rnacentral:rRNA from 2 species
UACGAACUGUGCAAACGUUAUUCGGAAUCACUGGGCUUAAAGGGUGCGUAGGCGGCUAUCUAAGCAGGGUGUGAAAGCCCCCGGCUCAACCGGGGAAUUGCGUUCUGAACUGGAUGGCUGGAGUGAGAUAGGGGUGUGUGGAACUUCCAGUGGAGCGGUGAAAUGUGUUGAUAUUGGAAGGAACGCCGGUGGCGAAAGCGACACACUGGGUCUCAACUGACGCUGAGGCACGAAAGCCAGGGGAGCGAACGGG